rnacentral:rRNA from 2 species
GCUGUACCGUGUUGACGGAGCGAAGCGACGUCAAACCGAUAAAACAGCAGUGUAAAGUGAGCCGCAGGGCGCUUUGCGCGACAGCGCAAAGGCAGGCGGUUUCGCGUAGCGAAAGCGAAUGCUUUGGGGUGGGGUGACUGCGUACCUUUUGUAUAAUGGGUCAGCGACUUAUAUUCUGUAGCAAGGUUAACCGAAUAGGGGAGCCG